rnacentral:RNase_P_RNA from 1 species
CCAGAGGGCGGGGCGAUCGCUCGGCGGCCACGGCCGCCGGGAGGAAAGUCCGGGCUCCACAGGACAGGAUGGUCGAUAACGUCGACCGGCCGCGAGGCUAGGGCUAGUGCAACAGAGAGCAGACCGCCGAACGGUUCGCGCCUCGGCGCGGACGCGUGGUAAGGGUGAAACGGUGCGGUAAGAGCGCACCAGCGGUCAAGGUGACUUGAUCGGCUCGGUAAACCCCAUCCGGAGCUAGACCAAACAGGGUGCAGAAGCGGUCCGCUUCGUGACGACACCCGGGUAGGUCGCGAUUGAGGCGACGAGCAAUCGUCGUGCACAGAUAAAUGAUCGCCGUCGCGCGGGCCCGGCUCGCGCGUCACAGAACCCGGCUUACAAGCCCUCUGGUGAA